rnacentral:rRNA from 1 species
CUACGGGUCGCAGCAGUGGGGAAUAUUGCACAAUGGAGGAAACUCUGAUGCAGCAACGCCGCGUGGAGGAUGACACUUUUCGGAGCGUAAACUCCUUUUAUAUAGGAAGAAGAUGACGGUACUAUAUGAAUAAGCGCCGGCUAACUCCGUGCCAGCAGCCGCGGUAAUACGGAGGGCGCAAGCGUUACUCGGAAUCACUGGGCGUAAAGAGCGUGUAGGCGGAUUAAAAAGUCAGAUGUGAAAUCCUAUAGCUUAACUAUAGAACUGCUUCUGAAACUCUUAAUCUAGAAUAUGGGAGAGGUAGAUGGAAUUUCUGGUGUAGGGGUAGAAUCCGUAGAGAUCAGAAGGAAUACCGAUUGCGAAGGCGAUCUACUAGAACAUUAUUGACGCUGAGACGCGAAAGCGUGGGGAGCAAACAGGAUUAGAUACCCCUGUAGUC